GAUGAAGAACGUAGCGAAAUGCGAUAAGUAAUGUGAAUUGCAGAAUUCAGUGAAUCAUCGAAUCUUUGAACGCACAUUGCGCCCGCCAGUAUUCUGGCGGGCAUGCCUGUUCGAGCGUCAUUACAACCCUCAGGCCUCCGGGCCUGGCGUUGGGGAUCGGCGGAGCCCCCCGUGGGCACACGCCGUCCCCCAAAUACAGUGGCGGUCCCGCCGCAGCUUCCGUUGCGUAGUAGCUAACACCUCGCAACUGGAGAGCGGCGCGGCCACGCCGUAAAACAACCCAAACUUCUGAAAUGUUGACCUCGGAUCAGGUAGGAAUACCCGCUGAACUUAAGCAUAUCAAUAAGCGGAGGA
rnacentral:misc_RNA from 1 species